rnacentral:tRNA from 1 species
UCCCUUGUGGCUCAGCUGGUAAAGAAUCUGCCUGCAAUGCAGGAGACCUGGGUUCAAUCCCUGGUUGGGAAA